UGGGUAGCAAGCAGCUGCAAGGAAGCAGCAGUACCAAGCAGCGGUCAGCUGUUAUUACGACAGCAUGUAACUAUCUUGCUAGCCUGGCUGGUCAUCUCGACGAGUCGCAGAAGCAGUGCUGAGCACGAGCCAGGAUGUUGCGCUGCUCACAGGCUGAUUCGAUUGAUUAUUGGAAUUUUUCUUCCUUUAUUUUCCUUUCCCUUUUGGUUUUCGAUCUGUGUCGAGGAUGGAGCCAAGACCUUCCACCAUAACGACUUGCUUUUCCCUGUUUUUUAGUUCUAGCCACGAAUGAGUUGGACGGAAGGAUCCGCAAUUUACCCAUUUGCUGAAGCCAAAUAUUGAAACCCACAAGAAAUUGAUAAUACUAGUUGCUUGAAGUAAUGUUCAACAUGGCAAGCUGCAUGCAUUAUGCGGAGUCAACGGAUAGAAAAGGUGUUUUAUUUUGGUUACUUUCUUUUCUUUUCCUUUGUUAACCGCUCAUGAAAAAAAAAAGAGAA
rnacentral:sRNA from 1 species